UGACAUGAGUAGCGAUAAAGCGGGUGAAAAGCCCGCUCGCCGAAAGCCCAAGGUUUCCUACGCAACGUUCAUCGGCGUAGGGUGAGUCGGCCCCUAAGGCGAGGCAGAAAUGCGUAGUCGAUGGGAAACAGGUUAAUAUUCCUGUACUUGAUUCAAAUGCGAUGUGGGGACGGAGAAGGUUAGGUUAGCAAGCUGUUGGAAUAGCUUGUUUAAGCCGGUAGGUGGAAGACUUAGGCAAAUCCGGGUCUUCUUAACACCGAGAAGUGAUGACGAGUGUCUACGGACAUGAAGUAACCGAUACCACGCUUCCAGGAAAAGCCACUAAGCUUCAGUUUGAAUCGAACCGUACCGCAAACCGACACAGGUGGGCAGGAUGAGAAUUCUAAGGCGCUUGAGAGAACUCAGGAGAAGGAACUCGGCAAAUUGAUACCGUAACUUCGGGAGAAGGUAUGCCCUCUAAGGUUAAGGACUUGCUCCGUAAGCCCUGGAGGGUCGCAGAGAAUAGGUGGCUGCGACUGUUUAUUAAAAACACAGCACUCUGCUAACACGAAAGUGGACGUAUAGGGUGUGACGCCUGCCCGGUGCUGGAAGGUUAAUUGAAGAUGUGCAAGCAUCGGAUCGAAGCCCCAGUAAACGGCGGCCGUAACUAUAACGGUCCUAAGGUAGCGAAAUUCCUUGUCGGGUAAGUUCCGACCCGCACGAAUGGCGUAACGAUGGCCACACUGUCUCCUCCUGAGACUCAGCGAAGUUGAAGUGGUUGUGAAGAUGCAAUCUACCCGCUGCUAGACGGAAAGACCCCGUGAACCUUUACUGUAGCUUUGCAUUGGACUUUGAAGUCACUUGUGUAGGAUAGGUGGGAGGCUUUGAAGCAGAGACGCCAGUCUCUGUGGAGCCGUCCUUGAAAUACCACCCUGGUGUCUUUGAGGUUCUAACCCAGACCCGUAAUCCGGGUCGGGGACCGUGCAUGGUAGGCAGUUUGACUGGGGCGGUCUCCUCCCAAAGAGUAACGGAGGAGUUCGAAGGUUACCUAGGUCCGGUCGGAAAUCGGACUGAUAGUGCAAUGGCAAAAGGUAGCUUAACUGCGAGACCGACAAGUCGAGCAGGUGCGAAAGCAGGACAUAGUGAUCCGGUGGUUCUGUAUGGAAGGGCCAUCGCUCAACGGAUAAAAGGUACUCCGGGGAUAACAGGCUGAUUCCGCCCAAGAGUUCAUAUCGACGGCGGAGUUUGGCACCUCGAUGUCGGCUCAUCACAUCCUGGGGCUGUAGUCGGUCCCAAGGGUAUGGCUGUUCGCCAUUUAAAGUGGUACGUGAGCUGGGUUUAAAACGUCGUGAGACAGUUUGGUCCCUAUCUGC
rnacentral:rRNA from 1 species